AAUCAGAGAGAAGUGAACUGGGGCUGGAAUACGAGCGCAAAUCCAUGCAAUGAUGGCUGGAAAGGCGUGACUUGUGAGAAAAACUUCAUCCACAUAAUCGAUCUUGCUGAGCCCACCCUCACUGCUGAGCAAGAUGCUGCCUCUGUUGGUGACCAAGGCUCUUGCUGUUCUUAACCUCAAGCUCCAAUCAUGUCUUUGGAGUUUUCAUAAACGAGGAAUCCAACGCGUCAAAUCAUUGGAUUGGCCAAGCUGGAACAUUGUAGGCAAAACCUUCAAUGCACUAGCUUUCAUGCAUGAGGGGCUGCAAGCUGAUGGAUUCCUCAUGGAAACAUAAAACAUCGAACAUACUACAUAAAGACGAAAGACAGUCCUGCAUAAGUGAGACAAGACUAUCUUUUCUUGAUAGAAUCAAGAGCUUUCAAGCAAACAACUCGCCUGCAGCUGUCGCCCAAAAUAAGGCGUUCGAGGCAGAUACUUACUGCUUCGGCCUGGUCCUCCUCAUGCUACUCAUAGGAGAGCCGGUCUAAAGCCACAAUGGACAUGUCUAGCUAAGUUGAUGAACUCCACAACUCGACAAGACUUGGUAACAGCUGAAGUUCUCAACAGAUCAGAAAGCGCAAACAAGGAGCAGAUGUAGGUCAUUAAAAUCCUCAAUCAAUCUUAUACAAAUACAAUCCAUA